UGGGGAAUAUUGCACAAUGGAGGGAACUCUGAUGCAGCGACGCCGCGUGAACGAAGAAGGCUUUCGAGUCGUAAAGUUCUUUUAUAUGGGAAGAUAAUGACGGUACCAUAAGAAAAAGCCCCGGCUAACUACGUGCCAGCAGCCGCGGUAAUACGUAGGGGGCUAGCGUUGUCCGGAAUCACUGGGCGUAAAGGGUUCGCAGGCGGAAAUGCAAGCCAGGUGUAAAAGGCAGUAGCUUAACUACUGUAAGCAUUUGAAACUGCAUAUCUUGAGAAGGGUAGAGGUAAGGGGAAUUUUUAGUGUAGCGGUGAAAUGCGUAGAUAUUAAAAAGAAUACCGGUGGCGAAGGCGACGUACUGGGCUCAUUCUGACGCUGAGGAACGAAAGCGUGGGUAGCAAACAGG
rnacentral:rRNA from 1 species